rnacentral:rRNA from 1 species
GACGAACGCUGGCGGCGUGCUUAACACAUGCAAGUCGAACGUGAUUUUUGUGGAAAGCCCUUCGGGGACGGAAAUGAAAUGAAAGUGGCGAACGGGUGAGUAACACGUGAGCAACCUACCUUACACAGGGGGAUAGCCGUUGGAAACGACGAUUAAUACCGCAUGAGACCACAAAGCCACAUGGCUUAGGGGUAAAAGAUUUAUCGGUGUAAGAUGGGCUCGCGUCUGAUUAGCUAGUUGGAAGGGUAAAGGCCUACCAAGGCAACGAUCAGUAGCCGGUCUGAGAGGAUGAACGGCCACAUUGGAACUGAGACACGGUCCAAACUCCUACGGGAGGCAGCAGUGGGGAAUAUUGCACAAUGGGGGGAACCCUGAUGCAGCGACGCCGCGUGAGCGAAGAAGGCCUUCGGGUCGUAAAGCUCUUUUAUAUGGGAAGAUAAUGACGGUACCAUAAGAAAAAGCCCCGGCUAACUACGUGCCAGCAGCCGCGGUAAUACGUAGGGGGCUAGCGUUGUCCGGAAUCACUGGGCGUAAAGGGUUCGCAGGCGGCAAUGCAAGUCAGAUGUAAAAGGCAAAGGCUCAACCUUUGUAAGCAUCUGAAACUGUAUAGCUUGAGAAGUGUAGAGGCAAGUGGAAUUUUUAGUGUAGCGGUGAAAUGCGUAGAUAUUAAAAAGAAUACCGGUGGCGAAGGCGACUUGCUGGGCACAAUCUGACGCUGAGGAACGAAAGCGUGGGGAGCAAACAGG